GAUUAGGCAUGCAAGUCGCACGGUCAAAAUGAGGCUUCGGCCGAAAGACGAGUGGCGAAAGGGUGAGUAAUGCAUGGGCAACCUGCCCCCGGGACGGGGAUAGCAGCGUCCGCUUCGGCGGACUUUAGCGAAAGUGCUGGUAAUACCCGAUGAUGUUGCGACGCCGCAUGACGUUGUGACCAAAGGGUGGGACCUUCGGGUUUCCGCCUGGGGAGGGGCCCAUGUCCUAUUAGCUUGUUGGUGAGGUAACGGCUCACCAAGGCAUCGAUGGGUAGCCGGUCUGAGAGGAUGAUCGGCCACACUGGGACUGAGACACUGCCCAGACUCCUACGGGAGGCUGCAGUCGAGAAUCUUCCGCAAUGCGCGCAAGCGUGACGGAGCGACGCCGCGUGGGGGACGAAGGCCUUCGGGUUGUAAACUCCUUACAGAGGGUAUGAAGGUGCCUGUUGACCCACUUCGGGUACUUGACGUCAACCUCAAAUGAAGCUCCGGCUAACUACGUGCCAGCAGCCGCGGUAAUACGUAGGGAGCUAGCGUUGUUCGGAAUCACUGGGCAUAAAGGGUGCGUAGGCGGUUCGUCGUGUCCGUUGUGAAAUCCCCCGGCUUACCCGGGGAACUGCGGCGGAAACUGGCGGGCUUGAGGACAGGAGGGGAGAGUGGAACUCUAGGUGGAGCGGUGAAAUGCGUUGAUAUCUAGAGGAACGCCGGAGGCGGAAGCGGCUCUCUGGUCUGUCUCUGACGCUGAUGCACGAAAGCUAGGGUAGCGAACGGGAUUAGAUACCCCGGUAGUCCUAGCCGUAAACGAUGGGCACUAGAUGGAGGAGGAUUCAACGCCUUCUCUGUCGAAGCUAAUGUGAUAAGUGCCCCGCCUGGGGAGUAUGGUCGCAAGGCUAAAACUCAAAGGAAUUGACGGGGGCUCGCACAAGCGGUGGAGCAUGUUGCUUAAUUCGAAGCAACGCGAAGAACCUUACCAGGGCUUGACAGCGAGAAGUAGGAUCCCGAAAGGGUAACGACCGGUACCCAAUCCGGAACUCGAACAGGUGUUGCAUGGCUGUCGUCAGCUCGUGUCGUGAGAUGUAGGGUUAAGUCCCGUAACGAGCGAAACCCCUGUCCUUAGUUGCCAGCGGUUCUGCCGCGCACUCUAGGGAGACUGCCGCGUUAAAGUUGGAGGAAGGUGGGGACGACGUCAAGUCAUCAUGGCCCUUACGCCCUGGGCUGCAAACGUGCUACAAUGGCCGGUACAAAGAGAAGCGAGGCCGCAAGGUGGAGCAAAUCUCACAAAGCCGGUCCCAGUUCGGAUCGGGGGCUGCAAUUCGCCCCCGUGAAGUUGGAAUCGCUAGUAACCGCGGAUCAGCUACGCCGCGGUGAAUAUGUUCCCGAGCCUUGUACACACCGCCCGUCAAGCCACCCGAGCAGGGCGCACCCGAAAUCCGUGACCCAACUCACUUCGGUGGGAGGGAGCGGCUGAAGGUGAGCUUUGUAAGGGGGACUAAGUCGUAACAAGGUAGCCGUAGGGGAACCUGCGGCUGGAUCACCUCCUUUCUAAGGAUGAAGAUCCCGCAACGCGGUGACGUGUUGCGGCGCAAACGUUGACGUGAUGUCCACCACCGACUGUCCAGUUCCUAUAUCAGCAAUGAUCCCCUUGGGACGCUGCAUAGGUUGAUAUCAGCGGCUGCACUGAAUGGGCGGUCGGAUGAUUUGGGCCUAUAGCUCAGUUGGUUAGAGCGCGCGCCUGAUAAGCGCGAGGUCAGUGGUUCGAAUCCACUUAGGCCCACCACUGGUGCGCGCGGGUAGAGCGGUGGCGGUGGGGGGAGCGGGGAAGUAGCUCAAUGGGAGAGCGCCUGCUUUGCACGCAGGAGGUUGCCGGUUCGACUCCGGUCUUCUCCACCAUGGGAUGGAUCAAAUCCGCAUAGCGGACUUGAUAUAGUUCUUUGACAAUUUGGUGUGCGAGUGCAUGUGGCAUCUGCGAAUUCUGAACACCGAGACAGGAAGUGUCGCGGUGAAGCUACUAAGAGUGUACGGCGGAUGUCUUGGCGCCAAGAGGCGAUGAAGAGCGUGGAGGCUGCGAUAAGCUCCGGGUAGGUGCCUAGCGACCUGCGAUCCGGAGAUUCUUGAAUUAGCGCGUUCUGAAUACAUAGGGACGCGCUGUGAACGCGGCGAACUGAAACAU
rnacentral:rRNA from 1 species